rnacentral:rRNA from 1 species
GGUGAACGCUGGCGGUAGGCCUAACACAUGCAAGUCGAACGGCAGCACAGUAAGAGCUUGCUCUUACGGGUGGCGAGUGGCGGACGGGUGAGGAAUACAUCGGAAUCUACUUUUUCGUGGGGGAUAACGUAGGAAAACUUACGCUAAUACCGCAUACGACCUACGGGUGAAAGCAGGGGAUCUUCGGACCUUGCGCGAUUGAAUGAGCCGAUGUCGGAUUAGCUAGUUGGCGGGGUAAAGGCCCACCAAGGCGACGAUCCGUAGCUGGUCUGAGAGGAUGAUCAGCCACACUGGAACUGAGACACGGUCCAGACUCCUACGGGAGGCAGCAGUGGGGAAUAUUGGACAAUGGGCGCAAGCCUGAUCCAGCCAUACCGCGUGGGUGAAGAAGGCCUUCGGGUUGUAAAGCCCUUUUGUUGGGAAAGAAAAGCAGCAGGUUAAUACCCCGCUGUUCUGACGGUACCCAAAGAAUAAGCACCGGCUAACUUCGUG